rnacentral:lncRNA from 10 species
CUUCACAUAAUGACAGCAAUUUCUCUGAACUAAAUGUUAAUUAAUAAGGCCUGUAAUACUAUGAGAAGGAAAUGGUGGCAAUUGGCAAAUGGAACUCUGUUGCUUGGUAACAAAACCUGAGAAAUAAUCAAAACCCUCUGCACUCACUCAGAAGUGUCCAUAAGUCCUGUUCAAGUAAUCUUAAAAGAGACUGUUCCAAUAUUCGAUCUGCCUCGUUCAACAAGGAAAAUUUCUGCCCUGAUUUUAGGCAAAAAGGUGAGGAAGCAGAGAAUUAUUUUUGAAUGGCUACUGCUUAAAGAGUUGCCUGCGUGAGGUUUGGUGGCAAGAAGCAGAAGUCAGAGCCUGUGGUUCCUGUUGCUCUUCGGCGGUAUGAAAGAGAGAAGAAGGCGUGCUUCAUUAUAUGAAGCUUUGCUCCUAAGGUGGAGUCUUGCUGCAUCACCAAGGCUGGAGUGCACUGGCACAAUCUCGGCUCACUGCAACCUCCUCCUCCCAGGUUCAAACAAUUCUGUCUCAGCCUCCCAAGUAGCUGGGACUACAGGUGCCUGCCACCACGCCUGGCUGAUUUUUGUAUUUUUAGUAGAGACAGGGUUUCACCUUGUUGGUCAGGCUGGUCUCAAACUCCUAACCUCAAGUGAUCCACCCGCGUCGGCCUCCCAAAGUGCUGAGAUUACAGGCGUGAGCCACCGUGCCCCACCAAUGCUACUGAUUUUUGUAUCCUGCAACUUUACCAAAUUCAUUUUUUUGGUUCUAAAUGUUUUUUGUGGAUCUUUGAGGCCUUCUACAUAAAGGAUAAUAUCUCAAAUAGGGAUAAUUUUGCUUCAUCUUUCUGAAUUUAGAUGCCUUUUUUUCUUCUCUGAUUGCCCUUGUUAGUACUUCUAAUACUACAUUGAAUAGAAGUGGUGAGAGGGGGCAUCCCUGUAUUGUACUGAUCUUAUUAGAAAAGCUUUCAUUUGUACCUGUUGAUUAUGAUCUUAGCUGUGAGCUUUUCAUAAAUGGUCCCUAUUAUUUUGAGGACCUUUCCUUCUAUAUCUAAACUGUUAAGAGUUUGUAUCAAGAAAGGAUACUGAAUUUUGUCAAAUAGUUUUUCUGCAUCAAUUGAGAGGUUCAUGUGGUUUUUCUCUUUUAGUCUUUUAAUAGAUGUGUUACAUUGAUUGACUUGCAUGCCAUGCAUAAAUCCCACUUGUACACCACAGGGAAAUCCCACUUGGUUCCGAUGUAUAACCUUCCUGAUGUGUUGUUGAAUCUGGUUUGCUAAUAUUUUAUUGAAGAUUUUAGUAUCAAAGUUCAAGACUUAUUGGCCUGUAGGUUUUUUUUACUUGAAGUAUCUUUGUCUGGCUUAGGUAUCAAGGUGACACUGGCCUCAUGAAAUAUAUUUGGAAGUAUUCCCUCUAGCUCUAUUUUUUUUUUUGGAAGAGUUUAAGAAGUAUUGGUAAUAAUUCUUUUUUAAAUGUUUUGUGAACUUCUUCUCUGAAGUCAUCUGGUUCAGUGCUUUUCAUUGCUGGAAGGUGUUUAAUUACUUUAAUAUCUUUGUUAUUGGUUUGUUCGAG